rnacentral:lncRNA from 1 species
GUUUGAGAAUUUCUGAAGACAAAGUGGAUUUUGCAAUGAGAUUUACACGAACUUAACUCCCGAGUAGUUUCUUUUGUACUCCCUUCUGCACCGCCUUCUCUGUUCAUCCAGCCAGGCUGUCUUCACUGUUUCUGGAAGUCCCUGAAGAACCAGAGCUGAAGGUCCAGGCCUCCGGACUCCUGACCUCCGACCCCCCAGCCGAGGGAGACAGAUGUUUUCAACACAGCCAACUGCAUUAUAAAGGAAA